UACGAAGGGGGCUAGCGUUGUUCGGAAUUACUGGGCGUAAAGCGCACGUAGGCGGACAUUUAAGUCAGGGGUGAAAUCCCGGAGCUCAACUCCGGAACUGCCUUUGAUACUGGGUGUCUUGAGUGUGGAAGAGGUGAGUGGAAUUCCGAGUGUAGAGGUGAAAUUCGUAGAUAUUCGGAGGAACACCAGUGGCGAAGGCGGCUCACUGGUCCAUUACUGACGCUGAGGUGCGAAAAGCGUGGGGAGCAAACAGGG
rnacentral:rRNA from 1 species